CCUCGCACCUGCUUAUUGGCCUCAUCGAAGAAGACGCAGUUGACGGGAUUCGCCUUCUCGAAUUGCACGGGCCGCGCGCACAGCGCCAGUGGUUCUGUUCCAUAUGGGAUGGUGAAAUUUCUAAAUCAGUUUGGAAACAGAUUGAAACUUUACCUCAUGCAACAUAGGUCAGCUCCCAAACUACUGCACUGGGCAGCACAGCAUGGGGAGGAGGUGGCCAGCCCUCUGUGAAGGAAGAAGUGGUUCGGGACUAUUUAGAAAAACUGGAGGUGCACAAGUCCAUAGGGCUGGAUGCGUUGCAUCCGAGAGUGCUAAAGGAAUUGGCGGAUGUGAUUGCAGAGCCAUUGGCCAUUAUCUUUGAAAACUCAUGGCGAUCGGGGGAAGUCCCAGAAGAUUGGAAAAAGGCUAAUGUAGUGCCCAUCUUUAAAAAAGGGAAGAAGGAUGAUCCUGGGAACUACAAGCCGGUCAGCCUCACCUCAGUCCCCGGAAAAAUCAUGGAGCAUGUCCUCAAGGAAUCAAUUCUGAAGCACUUAGACGAGAGGAAAGUGAUCAGGAACAGUUAGCAUGGAUUCACCAAGGGAAAGUCAUGCCUGACUAAUCUAAUUGCCUUCUAUGAUGAGAUAACUGGUUCUGUGGAUGAAGGGAAAGCAGUGGACGUGUUAUUCCUCGACUUAAGCAAAGCUUUUGACACGGUCUCCCACAGUAUUCUUGUCAGCAAGUUAAAGAAGUAUGGGCUGGAUGGAUGUACUACAAGGUGGGUAGAAAGUUGGCUAGAUUGUCGGGCUCAAUGGGUAGUGAUCAAUGGCUCCAUGUCUAGUUGGCAGCCAGUAUCUAGCGGAGUGCCCCAAGGGUCGGUCCUGGGGCCGGUUUUGUUCAAUAUCUUCAUUAAUGAUCUGGACGAUGGUGUGGAUUGCACCCUCAGCAAGUUUGCGGAUGACAUUAAACUGGGAGGAGUGGUAGAUACGCUGGAGGGUAGGGAUAGGAUACAGAGGGACCUAGACAAAUUGGAGGAUUGGGCCAAAAGAAAUCUGAUGAGGUUCAACAAGGACAAGUGCAGAGUCCUGCACUUAGGACGGAAGAAUCCAAUGCACCGCUACAGACUAGGGACCGAAUGACUUGGCAGCAGUUCUGCAGAAAAGGACCUAGGGGUUACAGUGGACGAGAAGCUGGAUAUGAGUCAGCAGUGUGCCCUUGUUGCCAAGAAGGUCAAUGGCAUUUUGGGGUGUAUAAGUAGGGGCAUUGCCAGCAGAUCGAGGGACGUGAUCGUUCUCCUCUAUUCGACAUUGGUGAGGCCUCAUCUGGAGUACUGUGUCCAGUUUUGGGCCCCACACUACAAGGAUGUGGAGAAAUUGGAGAGAGUCCAGCGAAGGGCAACAAAAAUGAUUAGGGGGCUGGAACACAUGAGUUAUGAGGAGAGGCUGAGGGAACUGGGAUUGUUUAGUCUACGGAAGAGAAGAAUGAGGGGGGAUUUGAUAGCUGCUUUUAACUACCUGAAAGGUGGAUCCAAAGAGGAUGGAUCUAGACUAUUCUCAGUGAUAGCAGAUGACAGGACAAGGAGUAAUGGUCUCAAGUUGCAGUGGGGGAGAUUUAGGUUGGAUAUUAGGAAAAACUUUUUCCCUAGGAGGGUGGUGAAACACUGAAAUGCGUUACCUAGGGAGGUGGUGGAAUCCCCUUCCUUAGAAGUUUUUAAGGUCAGGCUUGACAAAGCCUUGGCUGGGAUGAUUUAGUUGGGAUUGGUCUUGCUCUGGGCAGGGGGUUGGACUAGAUGGCCUCCAGAGGUCCCUUCCAACUCUGUUAUUCUAUGAAAUUAGAGUGAAUAAAUGAAGACUCGGCACACCACUUCUGAAAGGUUGCUGACCCCUGGAAUAGACAGAGACUAGUGGAACAAGCCUCACCAUCAUGGCUGCCACUCCCACCAUCUCCUGUGACCCCACAUCUCAUUUUUCCUAAUCCUGAUGGAUGUCAUGACCAGAUCUAGCCACAGAGAGGGAGCCAGAUUACAUCACCAGCCACUGCUACAAGCUCCAGCUGAAUCCCAACCACCAUCUGAGAUGAUAUUGAACUUUACCAGCAACAACAGCUCCAGCCCAUUUCAACUAACUUUCUUUUACUCAAAAGGGGAGGCAAAGGGAAGCUGCAAUUACACCAUUUGCCAACCAGAGGCUGAUGUGGCACAAGAAGGGAGGAUACCUGGCUCACAGUCGGAGAGAGGAGGCUGAGGCUGUCUUCUUCACAGCACCCUGCCUCCCAGGCCAGGGGAAAAUCUUCUGGCUCCUGUGCACACG